UAGUCCACGCUGUAAACGAUGAUCACUAGGUGUUCGACCUUCGGGUUGAGUGACUAAGCGAAAGUGAUAAGUAUCCCACCUGGGGAGUACGUUCGCAAGAAUGAAACUCAAAGGAAUUGACGGGGGCCCGCACAAGCGGUGGAGCAUGUGGUUUAAUUCGAUGAUACGCGAGGAACCUUACCAGGGCUUAAAUGUAGUCUGACAGCUUUAGAGAUAGAGUUUUCUUCGGACAGAUUACAAGGUGCUGCAUGGUUGUCGUCAGCUCGUGCCGUGAGGUGUCCGGUUAAGUCCUAUAACGAGCGCAACCCCUGUUGUUAGUUGCCAGCGAGUAAUGUCGGGAACUCUAGCAAGACUGCCGGUGCAAACCGCGAGGAAGGUGGGGAUGACGUCAAAUCAUCACGGCCCUUACGUCCUGGGCCACACACGUGCUACAAUGGUAGGUACAGAGAGCAGCCACUGCGCGAGCAGGAGCGAAUCUAUAAAACCUAUCUCAGUUCGGAUCGG
rnacentral:rRNA from 1 species